rnacentral:rRNA from 1 species
UAGGCUGCAACUCGCCUACAUGAAGUUGGAAUCGCUAGUAAUCGCGAAUCAGAAUGUCGCGGUGAAUACGUUCCCGGGUCCUUGUACACACCGCCCGUCACACCACGAGAGUUUACAACACCCGAAGUCAGUGGCCUAACCGCAAGGAGGGAGCUGCCUAAGGUGGGGUAGAUGAUUGGGGUGAAGUCGUAACAAGGUACC